rnacentral:rRNA from 1 species
CCUACGGGAGGCUGCAGUGGGUAAUAUUGCACAAUGGGGGAAACCCUGAUGCAGCGACGCCGCGUGAGUGAAGAAGUAAUUCGUUAUGUAAAGCUCUAUCAGCAGGGAAGAAAAUGACGGUAGCUGAUUAAGAAGCCCCGGCUAACUACUGCCCAGCAGCCGCGGUAAUACGUAGGGUGCAAGCGUUAUCCGGAUUUACUGGGGGUAAAGGGAGCGUAGACGGCAGGGCAAGUCUGGAGUGAAAGGCGGGGGCUCAACCUGCGGACUGCUCUUGACACUGGACGUCUGGAGUGCCGGAGAGGAUAGUGGAAUUCCUGGUGUAGGAGUGAAAUGCGUAGAUAUUAGGAGGAACACCAGUGGCGAAGGCGACUUACUGGACCGUAACUGACGUUGAGGCGCGAAAGCGUGGGGAGCAAACAGGAUUAGAUACCCGAGUAGUC